UGCAAGUCGAACGGUGAAGCGAGAGCUUGCUCUCGUGGAUCAGUGGCGAACGGGUGAGUAACACGUGAGUAACCUGCCCCAGACUCUGGGAUAAGCCUUGGAAACGAGGUCUAAUACCGGAUACGAGACGAGAUCGCAUGGUCAUCGUCUGGAAAGAAUUUCGGUCUGGGAUGGACUCGCGGCCUAUCAGCUUGUUGGUGAGGUAAUGGCUCACCAAGGCGACGACGGGUAGCCGGCCUGAGAGGGCGACCGGCCACACUGGAACUGAGACACGGUCCAGACUCCUACGGGAGGCAGCAGUGGGGAAUAUUGCACAAUGGGCGCAAGCCUGAUGCAGCGACGCCGCGUGGGGGAUGAAGGCCUUCGGGUUGUAAACCCCUUUCAGCAGGGAAGAAGCGAAAGUGACGGUACCUGCAGAAGAAGCGCCGGCUAACUACGUGCCAGCAGCCGCGGUAAUACGUAGGGCGCAAGCGUUGUCCGGAAUUAUUGGGCGUAAAGAGCUCGUAGGCGGUCUGUCGCGUCUGCUGUGAAAACCCGAGGCUCAACCUCGGGCCUGCAGUGGGUACGGGCAGACUAGAGUGUGGUAGGGGAGACUGGAAUUCCUGGUGUAGCGGUGGAAUGCGCAGAUAUCAGGAGGAACACCAAUGGCGAAGGCAGGUCUCUGGGCCACUACUGACGCUGAGGAGCGAAAGCAUGGGGAGCGAACAGGAUUAGAUACCCUGGUAGUCCAUGCCGUAAACGGUGGGCACUAGAUG
rnacentral:rRNA from 1 species